UUAUCUUCUUUCUUUCUUUUUUCUCUAUGGCCGUUUCUUCUUGGACGCACUUCCAAUCUCCUCUCCCGUUCUGUUGUAGUUCUAAUCUUUAACCGUCUUCUCUUCCUGCUGUAGUUUGGAUCUUUGGUCGUCUUCUCAUAUUCCUACUGUAGUUCAGAUAUCUUGCCGUUGCCCUUUUCUCCUAUUUCUACUUACCGUUGUUUCAAUCUCUUACUGUCCCUUUCUGUUAUGUCAAGAUUGAAAUAUUAUUCAAACGUAGUUGCUAAAGAAGUUUAUGUCUAGAAUGCCUAUGAUGGGAUAUAUAGUUUUACAGGUAUGUCGCUGAUGUAGUUACCAUAUGCAAGAUCCUGACAGCAGACAGUUAGUGCAUUGAGGUUCAUUACUAAUUUAAAGGAACUGGAUUGGGUGAAGAUCCCGAUUACACAAUGUAGUUUUGAACGGUGCCCAAAACUUCGAUGUAUCUGUAAUAUAAGGAAUGGAAGAGAGAAAUCUAGAAGAAGCCAUAGAAGAGUUGGAAGAGAGAAAACCUAGAAGAAAGCGGUGAAGAACUGAAAGGCGAAGAACUGAAAGGGAAAGGGAGAAACGACAGUAACAAAAUGAAACCUAAAUUAUAAGAUUAGAAAGUUAUUUAU